CCUACGGGGGACAGCAGUGAGGAAUAUUGGUCAAUGGACGAGAGUCUGAACCAGCCAAGUAGCGUGAAGGAUGACUGCCCUAUGGGUUGUAAACUUCUUUUAUAUGGGAAUAAAACGUUCCACGUGUGGGAUUUUGUCUGUACCAUAUGAAUAAGGAUCGGCUAACUCCGUGCCAGCAGCCGCGGUAAUACGGAGGAUCCGAGCGUUAUCCGGAUUUAUUGGGUUUAAAGGGAGCGUAGGUGGAUUGUUAAGUCAGUUGUGAAAGUUUGCGGCUCAACCGUAAAAUUGCAGUUGAAACUGGCAGUCUUGAGUACAGUAGAGGUGGGCGGAAUUCGUGGUGUAGCGGUGAAAUGCUUAGAUAUCACGAAGAACUCCGAUUGCGAAGGCAGUUCACUGGACUGCAACUGACACUGAGGCUCGAAAGUGUGGGUAUCAAACAGGAUUAGAUACCCCGGUAGUC
rnacentral:rRNA from 1 species